rnacentral:rRNA from 1 species
CAGUCGUACCGGCGGGUAAUCAGCCUUUUGGGUGUGAUUAUGUGGAGUGUGAGGAGUUAAACACCCUCAUCUUUGCAUAUUCGUGCACUUUGGGUGUACUUGCUCGUGUGGUAGGUUAACAUCAAUUUUGAUCGUCAUAAAAUGAUUGGAGGAAUGUAGCUUCGAUCUCGUAUUGAAGUGUUAUAGCCUUCGGUAGAUGUGAUGAUUGGGAUUGAGGAUUGCAACGGAUACCCUUCGGGGCUACCUGUCUGAUCUCUGAAAGUUGCUCUGGUGCUGAAAGCUUGCUUAUGGUAUCAAAGUUGACGUUCAACAGGUUAGAACGGGAUAAA